rnacentral:tRNA from 1 species
GGUCCUGUGGUAUUAGCGGUUAACAUGCCUGCCUGUCACGCAGGAGUCGCCAGUUCGAAUCUGGUCAGGACCGCCA